AGAGAGGCGAUGGAGAAGAGAAUGGGAGCUCCGAAGCAGAAAUGGACAGCAGCAGCAGAAGAAGAAGCACUUGUAGCUGGUAUCAACAAACACGGAACUGGAAAAUGGAAAAACAUACAAAAUGAUCCUGAAUUCAGUCAUGUUCUUGCUGCUCGUUCCAACAUUGAUAUGAAGGAUAAAGUAAUGGAGGAAUAUGAGUGUAACUGUGUAAGUGCAACUGGGGAGGGUUCUAGGCCAAAAAGUGUUAAGGCAACAGCAAGCAUACCAAAGGUGCCAAAGAAUCCAUCAUCCAUCUUUCAAUCUCCUCCUUCAUCCUCUCAAACUACUACUGAGGAUGCAAAAGAUAAAGUUUUGGAUCUUAUAAAUAGAAUCCAGAAUCCCGAAUUUGAUGAUAGUGGUGAAAAAGGAAGUCCUAAUGAUAAAGAAGAUGAAGCAGAAGAGAACAAUGAUGAUCCAAUCAGUAAGAAACGCAAAAGACAGAUUAGGAACAGAGAUGCUGCUUUGAGAUCAAGAGAGAGAAAAAGGGUGUAUGUGAAGGAAUUACAGAUGCAAAGUAGAUAUCUCGAAAACGAAUGUAAAAGAUUGCAGCAUAUACUUCACUGCUGUUACGCGGAGAAUCAUUAUCUCCACCUACAAAUCAGUGCUUCCACAGCCUCCAAGCAGGAGUCUGCCGUAUCCUUCUUGGGUAUGAUGCAAUGAUCCUUGAAGCACUUUCUAACAUUACAGAUCCCAAUGGAGCAGAAAUUGGUUCUAUCAACGACUUUAUUGAGCAAUGGCAUGAAGUGCCAUCUAACUUUAGAAGAUUCAUUAAAUUCAAAGUUGAGACGGCUUGUGGCGCAGGACAAACUUGUAAUGGUGAAACUCCUUUCCUAUGAAACUAAGGUUGGUUUUUGAGUACUUGAAUAUGUCUUAUACGUGUCUUGCAUGUUUAAAACUUUUGCAUCCCUGUAGAGUCAGAAAUCUGAAGUGAUAUCUGUUUUUUAUUACUGACGAACGUGGUGGACCUGUGUUCAUGGCUUUUUUGAGAUAUGGACCAAGAUUUCUGUGAUAGGUAGGGCUUGGCUCUGUGGUUUUUUGAAAAUGUAUUGGAUCUUGACUGGAGAAUGUAAUUCAAAUGGGUCUCGGGGUGGUGGUUAACUUAUAAAAA